rnacentral:rRNA from 1 species
AUUGAACGCUGGCGGCAGGCUUAACACAUGCAAGUCGAGCGAGCGGCGGAAGGGUGAGUAAUGUAUGGGGACUGCCCGACAGAGGGGGAUAACUACUGGAAACGGUAGCUAAUACCGCAUACUAUCGGAUAACCCAUAUGGGAUUAGCUAGUAGGUGAGGUAAUGUCUCACCUUGGCGACGAUCCCUAGCUGGUCUGAGAGGAUGAUCAGCCCAACUGGGACUGAGACACGGCCCAAACGCUCUGGGAGGCAGAAGUGGGGAAUAUUGGCCAUUGGGGGAAAGCCUGAUGCGGCCAUGCCGCGUGUAUGGAGAGGGCCCUAGGGUUGUAAAGUACUUUCAGUCGGGAGGCGUUACCGACAGAAGAAGCACCGGCUAACUCCGUGCCAGCAGCCGCGGUAAUUC